CCGUCAUAUCACGUUGAAACACCGCUUCGCGUACAAUCACCGAAAUUAAGCAACGUCGAGCCUAGUUAAUACCUAGAUGGGUGACCGCUUGGGAAUAGCAAGUGCUGUAAG